rnacentral:rRNA from 1 species
ACGUAGGGUGCGAGCGUUAAUCGGAAUUACUGGGCGUAAAGCGUGCGCAGGCGGUUCGCUAAGACAGGUGUGAAAUCCCCGGGCUUAACCUGGGAAUGGCGCUUGUGACUGGCAGGCUAGAGUAUGGCAGAGGGGGGUGGAAUUCCAGGUGUAGCAGUGAAAUGCGUAGAGAUGUGGAGGAACACCGAUGGCGAAGGCAGCCCCCUGGGCCGAUACUGACGCUCAGGUGCGAAAGUGUGGGGAGCAAACAG